UACGAAGGGGGCUAGCGUUGCUCGGAAUCACUGGGCGUAAAGCGCACGUAGGCGGCUUUCUAAGUCAGGGGUGAAAUCCUGGAGCUCAACUCCAGAACUGCCUUUGAUACUGGAGAGCUUGAGUCCGGGAGAGGUGAGUGGAACUCCGAGUGUAGAGGUGAAAUUCGUAGAUAUUCGGAAGAACACCAGUGGCGAAGGCGACUCACUGGCCCGGUACUGACGCUGAGGUGCGAAAGCGUGGGGAGCGAACAGG
rnacentral:rRNA from 1 species